rnacentral:rRNA from 1 species
GGGGCAGAGUGACAGGUGGUGCAUGGUUGUCGUCAGCUCGUGUCGUGAGAUGUUGGGUUAAGUCCCGCAACGAGCGCAACCCUUGAUCUUAGUUGCCAGCAUUCAGUUGGGCACUCUAAGGUGACUGCCGGUGACAAACCGGAGGAAGGUGGGGAUGACGUCAAAUCAUCAUGCCCCUUAUGACCUGGGCUACACACGUGCUACAAUGGGCAGAACAAAGGGCAGCGAAGCCGCGAGGCUAAGCCAAUCCCACAAAUCUGUUCUCAGUUCGGAUCGCAGUCUGCAACUCGACUGCGUGAAGCUGGAAUCGCUAGUAAUCGCGGAUCAGCAUGCCGCGGUGAAUACGUUCCCGGGCCUUGUACACACCGCCCGUCACACCACGAGAGUUUGUAACACCCGAAGUCGGUGAGGUAACCUUUGGAGCCAGCCGCCGAAGGUGGGACAGAUGAUUGGGGUGAAGUCGUAACAAGGUAGCCGUAUCGGAAGGUGCGGCUGGAUCACCUCCUUU